rnacentral:rRNA from 1 species
UACGUAGGGCGCAAGCGUUGUCCGGAAUUAUUGGGCGUAAAGAGCUCGUAGGCGGCCUGUUGCGUCCGCUGUGAAAUCCCGGGGCUUAACCCCGGGCUUGCAGUGGAUACGGGCAGGCUGGAGGCAGGCAGGGGAGAACGGAAUUCCCGGUGUAGCGGUGAAAUGCGCAGAUAUCGGGAGAACACCCGGUGGCGAAGGCGGUCUC